rnacentral:rRNA from 1 species
CGCACGGGUGAGUAACACGUAUCCAACCUGCCGUCUACUCUUGGACAGCCUUCUGAAAGGAAGAUUAAUACAAGAUGGCAUCAUGAGUCCACAUGUUCACAUGGUUAAAGGUAUUCCGGUAGACGAUGGGGAUGCGUUCCAUUAGAUAGUAGGCGGGGUAACGGCCCACCUAGUCUUCGAUGGAUAGGGGUUCUGAGAGGAAGGUCCCCCACAUUGGAACUGAGACACGGUCCAA